AGACCCGAAACCCGGUGAUCUAGCCAUGGGCAGGUUGAAGGUUGGGUAACACUAACUGGAGGACCGAACCGACUAAUGUUGAAAAAUUAGCGGAUGACCUGUGGCUGGGGGUGAAAGGCCAAUCAAACCGGGAGAUAGCUGGUUCUCCCCGAAAGCUAUUUAGGUAGCGCCUCGUGAAUUCAUCUCCGGGGGUAGAGCACUGUUUCGGCUAGGGGGCCAUCCCGGCUUACCAACCCGAUGCAAACUGCGAAUACCGGAGAAUGUUAUCACGGGAGACACACGGCGGGUGCUAACGUCCGUCGUGAAGAGGGAAACAACCCAGACCGCCAGCUAAGGUCCCAAAGUCAUGGUUAAGUGGGAAACGAUGUGGGAAGGCCCAGACAGCCAGGAUGUUGGCUUAGAAGCAGCCAUCAUUUAAAGAAAGCGUAAUAGCUCACUGGUCGAGUCGGCCUGCGCGGAAGAUGUAACGGGGCUAAACCAUGCACCGAAGCUGCGGCAGCGAACGUAUCACCCAAGACAACUUUACGGAGUUGACGAUUGACGGAGCGAAGCGACGUCAAAGCGUUCAUUAAAGUCGAGUUGGCUUAGGGAUACGUUCGUUGGGUAGGGGAGCGUUCUGUAAGCCUGUGAAGGUGUGUCGUGAGGCAUGCUGGAGGUAUCAGAAGUGCGAAUGCUGACAUAAGUAACGAUAAAGCGGGUGAAAAGCCCGCUCGCCGGAAGACCAAGGGUUCCUGUCCAACGUUAAUCGGGGCAGGGUGAGUCGACCCCUAAGGCGAGGCCGAAAGGCGUAGUCGAUGGGAAACGGGUUAAUAUUCCCGUACUUGGUGUUACUGCGAAGGGGGGACGGAGAAGGCUAUGUUGGCCGGGCGACGGUUGUCCCGGUUUAAGCGUGUAGGUGUGUGUUCCAGGUAAAUCCGGUUCACUUUAACAC
rnacentral:rRNA from 5 species